GGUCAAUCUUGACAUGCAUUUUACUCGAAAAAAUCGAUCAGAACGACAGUAUUUUGUGUCUCGAACAUUGAUCACAUUACAGAGUCCUGACAUUGAUCAAUCAUCAAUGAAGCUGAAAAUUUCAUUAUUGUUUAAAAUAAAAAUUUCAUUAUUGUUAUUACAUCACUCGAAUGUCAUCACAUUGUUACACCCUCUUUAUGAAUCUUUUCAACAAUCUAAAGCACGCUUAGUCUUGAAAAAAAAACAAAUCUAAAGCAGUUACAAAUACUAUUUAUAUAGUAUGUAUACAAUAUAGUUUUUUUACAUAUUUUUAUUAUAUGAAAUCAUUUUUUCUGUUAAUAUGUACUUAACACGUGGCAUAAUAGGGGACGCCGUUGGAGGAGGCUGCCGUCGUUGACCGAGCUCCAAAACUCCCCAGGUCAAUGAUUUCAUUGCGGUUGCUGACGUUGUACUCUUGAUGAUGAUCAUCAUAUGGCUGAUUAUUAUUACUAUUCAUCAUGAUGCCGUUUGGUGGUAACGGCACAUCAGGGCCGUCAACUUCAUCAUCAUCAUCACCAUCAUUUUGUUCAUGAUCAUCAUAAAAAUCUGACGGCCCGCAGUAAGCCACGUUUGUUGCAGCAGUGGGAACAGGAUACUCGUGUUGGCCGUUUAGCUGAGAGGCCACCA
rnacentral:lncRNA from 1 species